GUCCAGGUCGUCCAAUGGUAGGACACCCCCAACUUGACAUUGUUGUUUCGCGGGGGAGGUCGGGGUUCAAUUCCCCGCCUGGACG